GGGGGUGUAGCUCAGUGGUAGAGCGUUCGCUUCGCAUGCGAAAAAUGUCCCGUGUUCAAUCCCCGGCACCUCCA
rnacentral:tRNA from 1 species